AUGCAAGUUGAACGGUAGAGGGGGCAACCCCUUGAGAGUGGCGAACGGGUGAGUAAUAUAUCGGAACGUGCCCAGUCGUGGGGGAUAACGUAGCGAAAGUUACGCUAAUACCGCAUACGAUCCAAGGAUGAAAGCGGGGGACUCGCAAGAGCCUCGCGCGAUUGGAGCGGCCGAUAUCAGAUUAGGUAGUUGGUGGGGUAAAGGCUCACCAAGCCAACGAUCUGUAGCUGGUCUGAGAGGACGACCAGCCACACUGGAACUGAGACACGGUCCAGACUCCUACGGGAGGCAGCAGUGGGGAAUUUUGGACAAUGGACGCAAGUCUGAUCCAGCCAUUCCGCGUGCAGGAUGAAGGCCCUCGGGUUGUAAACUGCUUUUGUACGGAACGAAAAGGUUUCUAUUAAUACUAGGAGCUCAUGACGGUACCGUAAGAAUAAGCACCGGCUAACUACGUGCCAGCAGCCGCGGUAAUACGUAGGGUGCAAGCGUUAAUCGGAAUUACUGGGCGUAAAGCGUGCGCAGGCGGUUAUAUAAGACAGAUGUGAAAUCCCCGGGCUCAACCUGGGAACUGCAUUUGUGACUGUAUAGCUAGAGUACGGUAGAGGGGGAUGGAAUUCCGCGUGUAGCAGUGAAAUGCGUAGAUAUGCGGAGGAACACCGAUGGCGAAGGCAAUCCCCUGGACCUGUACUGACGCUCAUGCACGAAAGCGUGGGGAGC
rnacentral:rRNA from 1 species